UGGGGAAUAUUGGACAAUGGGGGGAACCCUGAUCCAGCCAUGCCGCGUGUGUGAAGAAGGCCUUAUGGUUGUAAAGCACUUUAAGCGAGGAGGAGGCUCUCUUGGUUAAUACCCAAGAAGAGUGGACGUUACUCGCAGAAUAAGCACCGGCUAACUCUGUGCCAGCAGCCGCGGUAAUACAGAGGGUGCGAGCGUUAAUCGGAUUUACUGGGCGUAAAGCGUGCGUAGGCGGCUUUUUAAGUCGGAUGUGAAAUCCCCGAGCUUAACUUGGGAAUUGCAUUCGAUACUGGGAAGCUAGAGUAUGGGAGAGGAUGGUAGAAUUCCAGGUGUAGCUGUGAAAUGCGUAGAGAUCUGGAGGAAUACCGAUGGCGAAGGCAGCCAUCUGGCCUAAUACUGACGCUGAGGUACGAAAGCAUGGGGAGCAAACAGG
rnacentral:rRNA from 1 species